GCAGCAGCCCGCAGCGGCGGCGGGUCCGGAGCGGGUCCGGCUCGGCGGCGGCGGCGGCGAUGGCUGCGCCGGGGCAGGGCGCGGGGGCUGCGCGGCGCCGCGGGCGGCUCCCGCUGCUGCUGUUCGGCCUGGCGGCAUUCUUGCCGGCGUUCAUGUACUCAUUGAAGGUGUCUCCACUCAUAGAAAAAAUAAGUGACCACAAGGAUUUUAAGAAGCUUCUCAGGACACGGAAUAACAUACUAGUGCUGUAUUCCAAAUCUGCUGCUGCUGCGGAAAGCUCACUCAGGUUACUGUCCAGCGUGGCCCAGGAGGUGAAAGGACGAGGUACUAUAAGCUGGAUAGACUGCGGUGAUACUGAAAGCCGAAAAUUAUGCAAGAAGAUGAAAGUAGAUCCUAAUUCAAAGGAGAAAGGAGUGGAAUUACUCCAUUAUAAGGACGGUGCAUUUCAUACUGAAUAUAACAGAGCGGUCACAUUGAAGUCUAUGGUGGCUUUUCUCAAGGAUCCAGAAGGUGCUCCACUGUGGGAGGAAGAUCCUGAAGCCAAAGAUGUUGUGCAUGUUGACAGUGAAAAGGAAUUGAGAAGGCUUCUGAAGAAGGAAGACAAACCCCUUCUGAUGAUGUUCUAUGCCCCAUGGUGUGGUGUUUGUAAGAGAAUGAUGCCAUCUUAUCAGCAGGCAGCCACAGAACUGAAGGGUAAAUAUGUUCUUGCGGGGAUGAAUGUUUACUCUGCUGAAUUUGAAAGGAUAAAGGAAGAAUACAAUAUCCGGGGAUAUCCUACAAUCUGCUAUUUUGAGAAAGGAAAGUUCCUGUUCCACUUUGAGAACUAUGGUGCUACUGCAGCAGAUAUAGCAGAGUGGCUGAAAAACCCACAGGCACCUCAGCCACAGGCUCCAGAGACUCCCUGGGCAGAUGAAGAAAAUGUAGUUUAUCACCUGACUGAUGAGGACUUCGACAAGUUUAUAAAAGAUCAUUCAUCUGUGCUAGUGAUGUUCCAUGCACCAUGGUGUGGGCACUGUAAGAAAAUGAAGCCAGAAUAUGAGAAGGCUGCAGAGUUUCUCCAUGUAGCCAGUGAUAGUCCAGGUGUCCUUGCAGCAGUCGAUGCUACCGUCAACAAGGCGCUGGCAGAAAGAUACCACAUCUCAGGGUUUCCUACUUUGAAGUAUUUUAAGGAUGGAGAGGAGAAAUACACUCUGCCACACCUUAGAACAAAGAAGAAGAUCAUCGACUGGCUGCUAAAUCCUGAAGCACCACCUCCACCUGAGCCUGCAUGGGAAGAAAAACAGACUAGUGUUAUCCACCUUGCUGGAGAAGACUUCAGGGAGUCCUUGAAGAAGAAGAAGCACACCCUUGUCAUGUUCUAUGCACCAUGGUGUCCCCACUGCAAAAAUGCCAUUCCGCAUUUUACAACUGCUGCCGAAGUCUUUAAAGAAGAUCGAAAGUGUCACCAUGAAACUGGAGGGCAUUGUGGAAUAUUAAGUGAUCUUUUAAUUAUGGAAGAACAGUUCAACUGCAACCCUAAAGUCAUGCAAGCAAAAGAUCGCCUAUGCUGCAGUGGACUGUGCCAAAGGACAGAAUCACGACCUGUGUAAGCAGGAGGGGGUUGAUGGCUACCCCACCUUCAACUAUUACAACUACGGGAAAUUUGUGGAAAAAUAUACUGGAGAAAGAGGGGAGUCCGGAUUCACCACUUUCAUGCGAACCCUGAGAGAAAGAGACCAUGAAAGAGUAGGAAAGAAGAAGGAUGAAUUGUAGUUUCUGCCUCAAAAGAAGCUUUCCGCUGCACUGUGAAUAGUUCCAGGUCUUUUGUUAAUGCACCUGAGACUUCACAUAUUCUCAAGACAGAGACUUUUUUUUAUAAACAGCCAUGGCCAUUUUGUACAAUUUUGAAAUAAAGUGAAACCACUUGAUUUUUAAAAGGAAAAUAAAUUAGAAUGUUGCCAUAAUGUUUUAAAGAAAACUUAGCAUUUUCUCUCAUGUUGUGAGACUAUGCCCACUGACACUCCUAUGCAAUAUUUUUGUAGUCUGUAGUGUGUCUGUAGGUGAUGUUGUUUGAUAGGGUGAAUUUUUUUUUAAAGGUAUUGUAGUACAUGUAAAAAACAAAGGGGAGGGGACACGUUUUCUGGUUGUUUUUUUUUGUUUGUUUUUGUUUUUUUUAAACCAGUGAAGGAAAAUGGGACUUGUAAGACACAGAUUUAUCCAAAUGCAGUUUUACAUUCUUGUGAACUAGUUACAUGUUCUUCAGUGUGAUUUGGGGGAACAAUUUUAAGGUGCUCAGGGAUAAAUAAGGUAUCUGAGUUAAUGAAGACAUUAACACUGACCAGAUCUGUUGUUUUCAUUUAAAUCUCUCUGGUCUUUAAAUCAGGACUGUUUACAUACCUUUAUAGAAUGUAUCGAGUGAAUUAAGGCAAGUAUCAAAAAUCAGCAGAGCAUGGGUAAAAUUAAACUAAACCCUCCUUUUUUGGCAUCAAUAUUGUCAAAUGCAUCUGUAAGUUAUGGCAGGAGUGAUUAUCUUAUAGGGGUAUACAGUUACCCUUAUAGGGUAUACAGUCUCCCUUCAAAUUAUGAUUGGGCCAUACCAAAUAAGUGUUGGAAAGUGUUAUGUUCAACUGUUUUGAUAAAUGCGUAAUACUUUUGAUAGUGCAGCAAUUAUGUAUAUUACGUGUUUACAUUCCAAAAGUUUAUCUGCAUUUGUAUGUGGGAUCUUUCCUUUUUGCUCUUUAAGGAGUUGCAUAAACUAUCUCUUUCUGACAAAAGCAUCACUGUAAAACCUGUAUUAGCAGCAGUUGACAUGUGUUACACUCUUGAGGCUCAAAAAGAAAAAAGACAUUGAUCUGGAGGUACUUAUGUCUUCACAGGAGGGGAGAGGGAGGGGCAGAAAGUUGUGAUUCACUUUGACCUAAAAAUAAAUUUUUAGAAAGACAA